AUAUAUAUAUUUAGGAGUCUAGCCAGCUCCUUGGUUUUGCACCCCUCCCUGUCACAGGUGCCUCAUCUCAGGACCCUAUUUAGCCUUGUACUGCAGAGAACUUGAGAUGGAAGGAUUUCCCCAAGUGAGUAGCUCAUUUAGUAGACAGUUGGUUGUAAGAGUAGGACCUGCCAAAGAUGGGGUACAUUGACGUUGUGGCAGGCUUAUGCAAUGUAUG